rnacentral:rRNA from 1 species
CACGUAGGGCGCAAGCGUUGUCCGGAAUUAUUGGGGCGUAAAGAGCUCGUAGGCGAUCUGUUGCGUCCGCUGUGAAAACUCGGGGCUUAACCCCGAGCCUGCAGUGGAUACGGGCAGACUAGAGGUAGGUAGGGGAGAAUGGAAUUCCCGGUGUAGCGGUGAAAUGCGCAGGAUAUCGGGAGGAACACCGGUGGCGAAGGCGGUUCUCUGGGCCGAUACUGACGCUGAGGAGCGAAAGCGUGGGGAGCGAACAGG